CAUAAAUCUCCUUCUACACUUUCAAUUGGUACUAGAGGGAAUUUCUUUAAAAUGACAGGAAUGAGGAAAUCAAAACAAUAAGAUUUUUGGUUCAUACUUUAAUAUCAACACCAUUGAAAGCACCAAUUUAGCUGUUUAUUGUGGACUUUUGUCAUCCCAGGCAGUACGCUGGAGUAUUUUCAAAGAGAAGAUUAGAGCUCUCUCUUCAGUGUUAUCCAGGGCUACCAAUCAGACCAUCUCUGAUAUUUUCUAAUGGGUGCUUUAAAGAGAUCCCUGUUUGAGAAAUGUAUGCAAAUAUUUCUCCUAUCUGCAGUUACACAGGCAAGAAAAUAAGCAAAAGGAUCUUUUAUCUUUCUUUUUUCACCUUUUCUUCUUUUUGUUUCUACCCAUGUGUAUAUCUCACAGAGGAGCUAGGGUGCAGCAGGUGCGCUGAAAAUGGUAGAGCACUAUGUACCAAGUGUUAGAUUACAUGAAGUGAAGAAGGCACUUGCUUUAAGUGCAAAUUUAGUGGAGCACCAAAAACUCAAAAGUCAAGGAUCUGUGGAAGUUGGAACUGGAAAACAAUUUCAAUUCCUACACAUUCCAAAGGCCCUGCCCAGAUUUAGGAUGAUUCAGGAUAUCUACAGCAAAACACAUUUCCAACGUGACAAGUUUGAGGAUCAUAAGGAGGAGAGAAUCAGCUAUGGGUAGAUUAUGUAGACAAAUCAACAAAACACAGAGAGAAACCAAGACGGGGUCCAACCCCUCUGUGACUAGGACUUAUUUUUAUGGCUGGGAGUUUAUGGCCCAGCAGACUGGGCCCGGGAGUGCAGAGCAUUAAGUGUAGGAAGGAAAAGAAACAUGGUGGGAGGGCAGAAUGCCCAGCAUCAGUCCAGGAGUCGGGUCUGCACCCAUCCAUAUCCUUCACUUGCAUCAACCUCCUUCUAAAGCCUGCUGCUCUGGGAUUGGGGGGGCGGUUCCUACAAAAGAAGAGAAAAUGGUGGUAGAUGAGGCUAAUCAAAAAGUAAGAUGUGAAAAGUGUUCAAAAUCUCACAGAAUAGAAAUAAGAUUUUAGGAAGCCAUGAACUCAGGUGGAGAAAAAAAACCCCUGCAUUUUAUUUUCACUAAUCUGUAAGUGAAAAUCUAGUAUUUCCUUUUUUUAGUGAAUGGAGGCAAUAAAUCAUUGCAGUAGUAGUAGUAGUCA
rnacentral:lncRNA from 13 species